CUGUCAGGAUUCUGUCCUGUCAUGUCAGCCACGGACCGUUUUAUUGUUUUUAUGUUGUCCAUGCCAAGCCUCAGGUCUGAUUUUAUCUGGUGAUAAUGCCAUGUGUUUUAUGUGUGUUUUGCUCUGGUCCAUCUUUCCUUUCCGGCUCUUUCUCUCUGGAAACUAGGUCAGAGUAGCUCCAGCAGCAGCUGGAGCUACUCUCGUCGUUAAGCCAGCACUGGUCAGAGCAGCUGAUCCUUAUCCCUCAUCAAUCCAUCCUUGACAAUAAAAGACCGGUUCAGACGCCCAUUUGACGCCGGAUUGUUGUACUACUAACCCACUUCAGCUGCUCAGAACCUGGAGACCCGGAACCAGCCACAGCGUGGACCACUGCCUGAACAAAGACCACGAGCAAUCCACGGGUCAUCACGGCUCCGGACCACAGCCUGGACCACCGCAAGGAUAUCCCACAGCCAAGAUCAAGCCAGAGCCACAGCCAAGAGGUCUCCACAGCCCAGACCAAGUCCGAAUCUCCGCCAAGAACUCUCAACGCCACGACCCAAGCCCUGACCCACAUGCAACACUCCAUCCUCUACAAUAAAAUCCUUCAACUAGA